rnacentral:rRNA from 1 species
CGCCCGCCGGGGCCUACGGGAGGCAGCAGUGGGGAAUAUUGCACAAUGGGCGCAAGCCUGAUGCAGCCAUGCCGCGUGUAUGAAGAAGGCCUUCGGGUUGUAAAGUACUUUCAGCGGGGAGGAAGGGAGUAAAGUUAAUACCUUUGCUCAUUGACGUUACCCGCAGAAGAAGCACCGGCUAACUCCGUGCCAGCAGCCGCGGU